CUCCUUCCCUCCCUUGCCGCCUUCCGCCCCUCGCCUCACGUCAUUCCGAGCUUUUCCCUUAUUUGCAUAGAAGCCGAGAAGAACACCACGGGAGGGGGGGUUUGCAAACUGCAGACGGGCCCCGUGACCAGCUUGGGAGGACGUGGCGGCGGCGGCGGCGUGGGGGGAGGCGGCGGGAAGCGGGGCGGAGGAGAGAAACUAGCGAGCGUGGGGAAAUGACAGGCAAGCGCCAGCUCUCAGGUUCCGCCACGGGUAGGGUAGCAGGAGAGAAGGAGAGAGCCCAAAGCGUGUCGGGGAGCUGGGCGGCGGGCGCGCGUGCCUCCGGCUUUCUUGGCGGGCAGCGCCGGGCGCGUGUUUGUGAGGAGGGGCGGCCGGCGGAAGGACGGGAGAGCCGGUGGACGGUGAAGGGCGAGGGAAGGCGGAAUGGGGCAAGGGCGCCUAACAGCGCUGCUUGGGAUUGGAAGGAAACGCCAAUUGACUGGUGAGGAGACGCAGCCAGAGAGUCCAUGCUGGCUUCCUCUCCUUCCCGCCCCUACCCCUUCGUUCAGCAGAGGCUGCGAAAGGGUAAAGGACCGGGAACUCUCCCAAGCUGGAAGCUCUUUAGAAUCCCCUGAGUUCCUGAGGGGAAACGGAGAAGUUCAUCAUCAUCAUCAUCUUAAAACUGCAGAGCUGGAAGGGACCCUGUGGAUCAUCGAGUCCAACCUCUGUCAAGGAGACACAGAGGGGAAUCGAACUCCCAACCCCUGGCUCCAAUGGGCUGUUCAGCAGUUGUGUACAUGUGGAGGUAUGGAUGACUUGGCUAAUCAGGUCUGAGAGCUCAAGUGAUGGAAAGGAUGAGGAGGUCUCCGGGGUCUUGGGCAAAGGUCCUUCCUAUCAUCAGCCACCUGAUUCUUCUAGCUGGAGUUCCCAGGGGAUGGAUGUGUGACCUUCCAUGGACCCUCUGCUACUCAGAUACGGUACUUUCACAAAGCAAUACUUG
rnacentral:lncRNA from 1 species